rnacentral:misc_RNA from 1 species
GAUGAAGAACGCAGCGAAAUGCGAUAAGUAAUGUGAAUUGCAGAAUUCAGUGAAUCAUCGAAUCUUUGAACGCACCUUGCGCCCUUUGGCCAUUCCGAAGGGCAUGCCUGUUUGAGUAUCAUGAACACCUCAACUCUUCAUGGUUUUCCAUGAUGAGCUUGGACUUUGGGGGUCUUGCUGGCCUGUGGGUCGGCUCCUCUCAAAUGAAUCAGCUUGCCGGUUUUUGGUGGGCAUCACAGGUGUGAUAACUAUCUACGCUUGUGGUUUUCCACCAGGGUAACCUUCAGCAGUGGAGGUUCACUGGAGCUUACAAAUGUCUCUCCUCUGUGAGGACAGCACUUUGAAUGUUUGAUCUCAAAUCAGGUAGGACUACCCGCUGAACUUAAGCAUAUCAAUAAGCGGAGGA